GACGAACGCUGGCGGCGUGCUUAACACAUGCAAGUCGAACGGAAAGACCCUGCUUUUGUGGGGUGCUCGAGUGGCGAACGGGUGAGUAACACGUGAGUAACCUGCCCUUGACUUUGGGAUAACUUCAGGAAACUGGGGCUAAUACCGGAUAGGAGCUCCUGCUGCAUGGUGGGGGUUGGAAAGUUUCGGCGGUUGGGGAUGGACUCGCGGCUUAUCAGCUUGUUGGUGGGGUAGUGGCUUACCAAGGCUUUGACGGGUAGCCGGCCUGAGAGGGUGACCGGCCACAUUGGGACUGAGAUACGGCCCAGACUCCGACGGGAGGCAGCAGUGGGGAAUAUUGCACAAUGGGCGGAAGCCUGAUGCAGCAACGCCGCGUGCGGGAUGACGGCCUUCGGGUUGUAAACCGCUUUCGCCUGUGACGAAGCGUGAGUGACGGUAAUGGGUAAAGAAGCACCGGCUAACUACGUG
rnacentral:rRNA from 1 species